rnacentral:rRNA from 1 species
GACGAACGCUGGCGGCGUGCCUAACACAUGCAAGUCGAGCGGAGUUUAACGAGCGGCGACUUCGGUCAAAGCUUGUUGAACUUAGCGGCGGGCGGGUGAGUACCACGUAGGCAACCUGCCCAUGACACGGGGAUAGCUUCGGGAAACCGGAGGUAAUACCCGAUACCUUUACUUGCCGCAUGGUAAGUAAAGAAAGCGACUUAGCGGUCAUGGAUGGGCCUGCGUCCCAUUAGCUAGUUGGUGAGAUAACAGCCCACCAAGGCGACGAUGGGUAGCCGACCUGAGAGGGUGACCGGCCACACUGGAACUUAGACACGGUCCAGACUCCUACGGGAGGCAGCAGUGGGGAAUAUUGCGCAAUGGGCGAAAGCCUGACGCAGCGACGCCGCGUGAGCGAAGAAGGCCUUCGGGUCGUAAAGCUCAGUCAUUGGGGAUGACACGGACAGUACCCAAGGAGGAAGCCCCGGCUAACUACGUGCCAGCAGCCGCGGUAAUACGUAGGGGGCGAGCGUUGUCCGGAAUUACUGGGUGUAAAGGGCGUGUAGGCGGGGAUGCAAGUUACUGGUAAAAACCCGAGGCUCAACCACGGGCUUGCCGGUAAAACUGUAUCUCUUGAGUGUAGGAGAGGGAAGUGGAAUUCCCGGAGUAGCGGUGAAAUGCGUAGAUACCGGGAGGAACACCAGUGGCGAAGGCGGCUUCCUGGCCUACUACUGACGCUGAGGCGCGAAAGCUAGGGGAGCGAACGGGAUUAGAUACCCCGGUAGUCCUAGCCGUAAACGAUGGUCACUAGGUGUGGGUGGUGGUCAAGCCAUCCGUGCCGGAGCUAACGCAAUAAGUGACCCACCUGGGGAGUACGGCCGCAAGGUUGA